rnacentral:rRNA from 1 species
CCUACGGGUGACAGCAGUGGGGAAUAUUGCACAAUGGGGGAAACCCUGAUGCAGCAACGCCGCGUGAAGGAAGACGGUUUUCGGAUUGUAAACUUCUGUUCUUAGUGAAGAAUAAUGACGGGAGCAAAGGAGCAAGCCACGGCGAACUAGGUGCAAGCAGCAGGGGUAAAACGGAGUUGGCAAGCGUUGGCCGGAAUUACUGGGUGGAAAGGGAGCGCAGGAGGGAAGCCAAGACAGCUGUGAAAACUACGGGCGUAACUUGUAGACUGCAGUUGAAACUGGUUUUCUUGAGUGAAGUAGCGGUUGGCGGAAUUCCGAGUGUAGCGGUGAAAUGCGUAGAUAUUCGGAGGAACACCUGUGGCGAAGGCGGCCAACUGGGCUUUCACUGACGCUGCCUCUCGAACGUGUGGGGAGCAAACAGGAUUAGAUACCCGGGUAGUC